rnacentral:tRNA from 1 species
AGUCAAGGAAAGUUGAAAUAACGUAUUCCUAAUCCGUGCGCCGCAGGUUCGAAUCCUGCCGGGGGCACCA